GGGAGCAUCUCACAUGGACACUGGAUGCUGUCAAGCUGGAGGCAGAGAAGCUGUUCUGUCUCUUUCUCUCGCAUGCACACACACACACACACACACACUCACUGUGACUUCCAGGAGCUUUUUGAGAGUUCUGCAGCUGUGAUGGAGAGGAAAGUAGAGGAAACUCUUGUGGACUUUACCUGCAUAACGGCAGAGGACAGAUGUUCAUAGAAACAAAGCAGGAUGGAAAGAGGAUGCUGGAGCAAGGAAGGGGUUGCCUGGAGCACUGAACUGAAAUUCCUACUGUUUAAGAUGACUUUUUACACAGUGGUUCGCAUGGACAUUGGCUAGAUCUCCAGCAGAAUGUGUGGCCCUAAAGGACAACCCUUCAGAAAAAAACGACCUUGAAACUGAUACAUUCCCAACAGCUAUACAGAUUUUUCCUAUAGACUAAAAUAGGAUACUGUCAUAUUCUGUUGCUUAGAAUUUCUCUAAGACCAGCUCUUCCGAGAAUUUCAAUGAAACUUUUGCUGUUUGUGACACAGAUGCAUCCAUGGCUGUCCUUCAAGUUCAUCUAAAACCGGGUGGGCCGAAACCAAUUUCCUCUUGUGUAAAGCCAAUCUAUUCCAUGGCUAUUGUAGCAUGAUUAAAAGGCUAAAAUGGUUUAGUUAAAAUACUCCUAAAUCCAUAAAUGUGUCACACUGAUUUCAAAUAGGUUUGUAGUGUAGUCAUACUGCCCCCUUUUGAAUUGAGAUGCUUUUUGGACUGAAAACUACCUUCAUUUUUUUAAACCACCAAAAUUUCUCCAAAACAUUGUGAGAGACUGAUAAACUCCUACAGAAAACGCUUGCUUCAACUUAUUGUUGCUACUGAAUUAUAGGGUGUACUUAUUUUUUCUCACCUGACUUCUGAAUGUUGUUUUUUUUUUGGGGGGAAAAGGUUUGGUUUCUGUUUGUUUACAGAAGUUGGGGAGGAUCACACAAUUGAUAUUUAGGCCCUGAAAAAUAAAAACCUAGAAAUGAAGGAGAGUGUACCAUCUUUUCCCAUGACUGUAUGUAAAUGUGUGUGUGUGUGUGUGUGUGUGUGUACCUGGCCUUACCGGUCCAGCUACCCCACAGUCCUGGAGGUCAGCCAAGUCUCAUCAAUUAUCCGUAAGCCAAUCCUGCGCGUGAGUGGGAGGGUCUGAGGAUCAUGUUCUGGUUAAUUGGGCCUCCAUGCAUCAAUGUGGCACCAAUCAACCUUCAGCUCCUCUCAGGCCUGAACUUCAGACGUCUCAUAUUCAACUGCUGAUUGGACAGAUAAAACUGACAAGGAGCCACGGCUAGUAAACAGGAUGUGGGAGAGUAUUGCUGUUACGAGGAUGAUUAAAUUUGCUCUUGGAUUAAGCUUCCUCAUUGUAACUUGUGUUUACACAAUCUUCAUGACCUGUGUGCUUAAUCACAUGCAUGUUUGUGUAAAAUGGCGAAGACGUUGUCACGUUUUUAUGUACAUCUGAAUGUUGUAGUUUCCAGGCUGCUUGCACAGCUGAAGGAUUUUUAUUUCUGGAGCUAUUUUUGUACUACAUUCAUAUAUUUACACUCUAAAAAUGGCUGGGUUAAAAAUAAUCCAGUUUGGGUCAAUUUGGAAACCCUGUGCUCAGCGCGGUUAGCUUGGGUUGUUGACCCAGCAUGCAUGAUUGAAUUUUUUAACCCAACUAGUUGGUAAAAAUGACUAUAUUUCUGGGAUGUAGAUACCCAAGUUGUUAUGAUUACAGUCCUCAUCUAGCAUACUUCUGUCAGCAGACUAACACUGGCUACAUGUAAAAAGAAAAAUAUACACUAUGUAUGUAAUGAAAUAGAAUAUUGACAAGUUCAAUUAAACUGGAAAUUAACUUAAAUGUGAAAAUAAAAAACAUUUCUUGCA